UCUCAGCAACUCACAUGUAAGCUAAGACCUUCUCCACUGCUCCACGCCGUACAUAAGGUGUUUAAAGCAAUAAUAUAAGUUCUUCAUCACAUUGAGAUUUCUUCACUCAUUGUUGCUACCGAGAAGCCAAUACACAACUCCAUUAACUGGAACGAACACCCAAGUCUGUCGAGAGCAACAGCGAAGCCAGAUUUAUUCGAAAAUGGAGAAAGAGAGCUCUUCCAAAUCUCAGUUUCAAAAGCUUAUAGAGCCACAAAGGUCUUUCCGAGGUAUUCAAGGCUCCAUUUCGAGGAUCAAUCCGCAGCUUCUUAAGAAUUUGAUUGCGUCUCCGGAAGGAAAGCGAGAGGAACACAUGUUUCCCUCGCCAUCCACUUCCACUGGAAAUCAGAGCUUUGUUUCGACUUUACCUGUCCUCAAUCCGAUUCCAAGGCCUACUUCUGAAAUUUCUCAAGAAAGUGCUCCAUUAACGAUUUUCUAUAACGGAACCGUCACCGUAUUCGAUGUUUCUCUUGAUAAGGCUGAGAUGAUCAUGAAACUUGUGGAAACAGAAUCGUCUGAUCCGAAACUCGUAGUUCCUUCGAGCCACGAACAUCCGGUGCUCGAUAAUCUUCAUGGAGAUUUGCCUAUCUUUCGAAGGAAGUCUCUGCAGAGGUUUCUUCAGAAGCGUAAGGAGAGGUGCGCCUCAACCUCAAGAUUCAACCACCAGAUGUAGGUUGCCGGUUGCCCUGCCGUUGAACCUUUGGCCCUGGCAUUGGAUGUCUAAGGCGUAUCCGUAUAUCUAAUUUGGUACCGUAGCUAUUUUUUCAUUUUAUGUGCAGGUAAAAUACACGAGAGAAUUCUACCAAAAAACAAACAGACAUCAGGAUAUUUUUUCAAAGAUUGACUACUGUGUCGCCUUACGAAUCAGUGGGAACCUGCGGUGGACAGGAGAUGAGGAUUCAGACCGAGCCUAGUCAAUGAAGCUUCACCUCCUACGCAAAUUCAUCACUUUUAUCAAAACUAGAUCAUAGUAUUGAUCGACUGCCCUUGUGUAUUUACGGAUGUUAGCCGGAAAUGACAGGUUGUGGUUUGGUGACAGCCCGUCCUUGGUCCUCACUCCUCACCUCUGGUGGCUAGUGGCUACUGCUCCUUCCCUGUUGCUUCUCCUUCCAACUUCCAAUUGGGUUUCCGUGCAGACUGUUGUCUUCUUACUUAAUUUUUAGUUGUUCAAUCAUCAAUGGCUACUUCAUCUUA